UUACUUCUUUGAAUUUAUUUGUUACUGAAAAAUUUUUCUCUAUUUUAAUUUAAUCGGUGAUUAUUUUUCAGAAUAUCGCAUUAUUCACGUAUCAUAUGUAAUAAUACUCGUUUUCAGAAAGGACGUUGGCCAGAGUCAGACUACACCCAUUUGCUGGUAUGGGUCAACUUGUUGCUAAGCGGCUCCAGCUUGGAGGCCAACCGUUAUGGCUCAGGCAAUUUCUCACAGCUGAAAUCUCACCACACACAUGCUUACGAUAUUUCAAAUGGUAAUUUUUUACAAAUUCACUCACACACAACACUCGCUAAGAAAAUAUCCGCCUAUUCAAAUAUCAAAUGUUAAAUAUCAAUAUAUAAAUAUAUUAUAUAAACUCACAUUAACAUUUAAAAA